rnacentral:rRNA from 1 species
UGGAGGCAGCAGUGAGGAAUAUUGGGCAAUGGGCGAAAGCCUGACCCAGCAACGCCGCGUGAGGGAAGAAGGUUUUCGGAUUGUAAACCUCUGUCCUUGGGGACGAAAAAAAUGACGGUACCCAAGGAGGAAGCCCCGGCUAACUACGUGCCAGCAGCCGCGGUAAUACGUAGGGGGCAAGCGUUGUCCGGAAUUACUGGGCGUAAAGGGUGCGUAGGCGGUUUUUUAAGUCAGAUGUGAAAUCCCCGGGCUUAACUCGGGUGGUGCAUUUGAAACUGGGAGACUAGAGUGCAGGAGAGGGAAGCGGAAUUCCUAGUGUAGCGGUGAAAUGCGUAGAUAUUAGGAGGAACACCAGUGGCGAAGGCGGCUUUCUGGACUGUAACUGACGCUGAUGCACGAAAGCGUGGGGAGCAAACAGGAUUAGAUACCCCGGUAGUCCC